UGAGUUGAAAGGUGUUUAAAUCAAUAAAAAGACAAGUCAAACACACAAAUAAUAAAAAAAAAACACCUCAAGGUCAAGUUCAAAAAUCAACAGUUUACAGUCAAACAAUCUUCAUGCUCAUUUCCUUCUCGUUGGAUUUGUGUUUUUAGAAAUUAGGCUUGGUAUCUAUGAUGAGUUUAGUGUUAUGUUGUGAUUUAAGGACUGAUGUUCGUCUUUUCGUCGUUUUUCAUAUUUUGCAAUAAAAUUUUGGUUUCUCUUCGACUUAUGAAUUUUGAUUACGCGAUCUGUGACUUCCCUGAAAUUAUUCUUAAGCUGAUACAAUAUUAUUUCAUGAUUGUUACAAAUUAAUGGUAAUGCAUCUGACGCAAAUUGUAUAUCGUGAAAGAAUGUACAAGAAUUUGUUUCUUCCUGCAAAGGGAAAUAUACCAAAUAGGAAGAAGUUUGAACAGAUCAAUCACUCUAAAACGGAAAAGGCUACUUUUAAAAAUUCUUUGUUUUUACUGUUGUUAAUUUCUGUUUUUUUUCUCUUGUCUCAUUGUCAAUCGUACCAAAUGUCAUUUUUGUGUCUCUAGGAAAUAAUUAAAAUCUUUAACUUUAAAAAAAUCCAGAUACAUUAUGUAAGUUGAGCUUGUUGCAACCUGUAUCAGAUGAUUCCAGUUGAAUCGAAAAUAAGAGACGGUUAUUAUUUGAACAAACAAGAGUGCUAGCUUAAAACGUUUUAUAUUUCCUGAUUUCUAUUACCUUAACGGAUAUAACGCUAACUAUGUAAUAAAACUAAACCUUAUAAUCAAAACCUCAUCGUUAGUUUUAUAGUUAUUCUGGAAUAUUAGAACAAACUAAUUCAGUUGGAAGGAAAUGAUUCUGUUUGGCCAACACAUACUUUAAAAACUGCAGCAGCCUAAAAAAAGUAACUGAAGCUGUGGAUGGUUAAGCGAAUAAACGUCAAAGAAUUAAGGUAAUGAAUAGGGGGGGGGGGGGCUGCAAAUUUCAAAUACUUGCAAAUAAAACAAGAUAUCAACAUUGUAGGCAGUGCACAGUAAAAUAAAGUCUUUAUAUUUUUCAUUGAAAAAAUUAUGGCUAAAAAAAACAUUCGUACCUUUGUGCAUAUUUUAAGUUAGUUAAUUAUUUGUUUGAUAAUCUUAAUGGAAGCCUUGUUUACUGACAUAGCGUAUAUUUUUUUAAGUGUGUACAAUUGUAUGUUUAUUACUAAAAAAUACUAGCAGCUGUAUACAUAUAUGUUAUUUACUUAUGAUAACGAGACUGGGAUAAGGAACCAUAACUUGCUGUUGUCCUACUAACAAAUGUACAUAUUUCAAUAAAGUAUGAUAAACUAUAUAAAAAAAAAUAACAUUUAGGUAAUCAUAAUUUUAUUGUAUUUCUUUUAGACUGACAAUGGCUUAAACAAAAUUAAAAUUAAAAACCAAGAUAUUAAGAUGCGUAAUAGUUACAAACUUUUAUUCAUUUUUCGCAUAUAAAC
rnacentral:lncRNA from 1 species